rnacentral:rRNA from 1 species
GAUGAACGCUGGCGGCGUGCCUAAUACAUGCAAGUCGAGCGAACAGACGAGGAGCUUGCUCCUCUGACGUUAGCGGCGGACGGGUGAGUAACACGUGGAUAACCUACCUAUAAGACUGGGAUAACUUCGGGAAACCGGAGCUAAUACCGGAUAAUAUAUUGAACCGCAUGGUUCAAUAGUGAAAGACGGUUUUGCUGUCACUUAUAGCUGGAUCCGCGCCGCAUUAGCUAGUUGGUAAGGUAACGGCUUACCAAGGCAACGAUGCGUAGCCGACCUGAGAGGGUGAUCGGCCACACUGGAACUGAGACACGGUCCAGACUCCUAAGGGAGGCAGCAGUAGGGAAUCGUCCGCAAUGGGCGAAAGCAUGACGGAGCAACGCAGCGUGAGUGAUGAAGGUCUUCGGAUAGUAAAACUCUGUUAUUAGGGAAGAACAAAUGUGUAAGUAACUAUGCACGUCUUGACGGUACCUAAUCAGAAAGCCACGGCUAACUACGUG